rnacentral:lncRNA from 1 species
AUUGUGAAAGGGGCCGCCGCCGCCUCGAGGGGGGCAGGGAGGGGACCGCGGGGGCCGGGGGCCGGCGAGGGGAGGCCGGGGCUGAGGGGCGAGGACCGAGGAGCGCGCGGAGGAGCGGGGUGAAGGUGGGCUGCCGAGGGAGGGGCGAGCCGGGGGAGGGUCUGGAGGGGGAAGAAGGGCGAGGGCGGCCGCGGGAAGAAGGGGAAAGCGGAGGCUCCCCGGGAAAAAAGCGCGAGAGAAUGGAGUUGAGAGGAAAGAAGGAGGAUACAGGCGGCCAAUGUGUGGCCUACGUGGGAGCGCCCCGAGCGCUCCACGUCCCCGGCCUGCGCCGGGCGGCCCCUUCCCCGGGCAUCUUGGCAACGCGCCUGGCCCAAGCCGGAGGGGCCCCGCGGCCCCGCACGCCUCCUGGACCAGUCAGGAUCCAGGCUCCUCUUUGAGCCCGCGGGUGUUUCAUGGGGGUAGAAGUCUAACCCCUCCACCCCCUCUCCUCCCCAGCAGUCCCACGCGGGUAUGGGAGAGAAUGAAGUUCUUUGUCUCUAAGGGAUUCAAACCAGAAACGGAGGGACCUCUGGUUCCCAGAGGGAGGAAAAUCCAUGAUGUCUGCUGCCCAGGGAGCUAUUGCCACCGCCUCCUUGGGAUGAAGUAUUGCCAGCUACCAACAGUUCCUUCCCAACGGCCAUCUUCCAGCCUUCUUAAACGACUCCUAGCAUCUUCGGGAGGCUCCUGAAGGACUGAAGCAAAGGAAAUCUCUGAAGGGAUUUAGUCCUUGAAAGGGAGUAGGGAUACUUAGGGUGUUCUGUGUUGAGCGCUUCUUCCUAUCUCUCCAGCUUCAUGUAUGUGUGUCUUUAUGUCCAAGCAAUUGAGCCAACAAGUCCUCAGAAUUCCUUGUGAAAAAAACGUUUUUUUUUUUUGAGACGGAUUCUCACUCUGUCGCCCAGGCUGGAGUGCAAUGGUGAAAUUCAGCUCACUGCAACCUCCGCCUCCGGGGUUCAAGCGAUUCUCCUGCCUCAGCCUCCCGAGUAGCUGGGAUUACAGUCACGCGCCACCACGCCCAGCUAAUUUUGUAUUUUUAGUAGAGACAGGAUUUCUCCUUGGUCAGGCUGGUCUGGAACUCCCGACUUCAGGUGAUCCGCCCGCCUCGGCCUCCCAAAGUGGUGGGAUUACAGGUGUGAGCCACCGUGCCCAGCCCUGAAAUAGUCUUAAUUGCUUGUUUUUCUUUUUUGUCUGAGGUGUGCUUUUUAAAAUCUCUAUGGAGAUGGAGAAGACUGACAUUCUCUGGCCUGAUGUGAAAACCUCUCAUUAAAACUGUGUCUGUGCUUUGUGGGCUGAAAGCAUGAAACACUGGAAAUUUUAAACAAACGUAUGUGAAUGUGUUAAGAAGCCAAGAGUCCGGCCCUCUUUCACCAGACUGUAUGGCCUCAGAUCAGCAAGGGAAGUAUUGAGCUUAGGGACACCAAGUAAUGGAGUGAGCAGGGAUGAGAGGGCACAUAGAAUGUGGUGAUCUCUUUCCAUGUCAAGGCUUGUGUGUUUGUGGCACUGGGGUCUUGCUGUGUCCCCAAGGCUAGAGUACAGUGGCACAAUUAUGGUUCACUGCAGCCUCAACCUCCAGGGCUCAAGUGAUCCUCCCACCUCAGUCUCCUAAGUAGCUGGGACAACAGGCUUGGGCUGCCACACCUGGCUAACUUUUUAUUUUUUUGUAGAGACGGGCCUUUGUAAUACCAGCCUUUGUUGCCCAGGCUGGUAUUGAACUCGCUCAAGCGAUCCUCCCACCUGGGCGUCCCAAAGUGCUGGGAUUAUAGGAGUGAGCCACUGUGCCCAGCCUUCAGCGUCAAGACUUUCUGCACCAUCUCUACGCUGACAGCUCCGUAAUUUAUAUUUCUUUCUGGACUCAUCCCCUAACUCCAGAAUCAUAUAUCCAACUGUCUAGUAUACAUACCCAGUUGGAUGUCUAAUAGGUAUUUCUUUUUUUUGAGGUGGAGUCUUGCUCUGUUGCCCAGGCUGGAGUGCUGGAGUGCAGUGGCACGAUCUCGGCUCACUGCGAGCUCCUCCCGGGUUCACGCCAUUCUGCCUCAGCCUCCCCAGUAGCUGGGACUACAGGCGCCUGCCACUACGCCUGGCUAAUUUUUUGUAUUUUUUAGUAGAGACGUGGUUUCACUGUGUUAGUCAGGAUGGUCUCAUCUCCUGACCUCGUGAUCUGCCCGCCUCGGCCUCCCAGAGUGCUGGGAUUACAGGUGUGAACCACCGCGCCCGGCCUAGGUAUUUCAAACUUACAUCUAAAAAUCAAGCUCCCGAAUUCCUCCCACCCAAACACCCAAAUACCACUUCUACAGUCUUACUCUUUUUUUUUUUUUUUUUUGAGACGGAGUCUUGCUCUGUUGCCCAGGCUGGAGUGCAGUGGCACAAUCUCAGCCCACUGCAACCUCUCCACCUCCCGGGUUCAAGCGAUUCUCCUGCCUCAGCCUCCAGAGUAGCUGGGAUUACAGGCAUGCACCACCAUGCCCAGCUAAUUUUUGUAUUUUUAGUAGAGACGGGGUUUCACCAUGUUGGUCAGGCUGGUCUCAAACUCCUGACCUCAUGAUCCGCUCACCUCAGCCACCCAAAGCUGGGAUUACAGGCGUAAGCCACCGCGCCCAGCCCAGUCUUCCUCUCUUUGUCACCCCAUUGCCUUUCAAAAUGUAUGUCCAAGGCUGGACGUCGUGGCUCGUGCCUGUUACCCCAGCACUCUGGGAGGCCGAGGUGGGCGGAUCACAAGGUCAGGAGAUCGAGACCAUCCUGGCUAACAUGGCGAAACCCCGUCUCUACUAAAAAUACAAAAAAUUAGCCAAGCAUGGUGGCGGGCGCUUGUAGUCCCAGCUACUCGGGAGGCUGAGGCAGGAGAAUGGCGUGAACCCAGGAGGCAGAGCUUGCAGUGAGCCGAGAUCGCGCCACUGCACUCCAGCCUGGCGACAGAGUGAGAGUCCGUCUCAAAAAAAAAAAAAAAUUUAGCCGAGCCUGGUGGCAGGGGCCUGUAGUCCCAGCUACUCGGGAGGCUGAGGCAGGAGAAUGGGGUGAACCCGGGAGGCAGAGCUUGCAGUCAGCCGAGAUCCCACCACUGCACUCCAGCCUGAGUGACAGAGGGAGACUCCAUCUCAAAAAAAAAAAAAAAUACAUAUAUAUAUAUAUAUAUAUAUAUAUAUAUAUAUAUGUAUAUGUAUGUCCAAAAUCCCACAGUUUCUCAACACCUCCACAACUUCCACCCUGGCCUCUGCCACACAAUCCUAUCUCACUUGUUUUAAUUGCAGUAACUGUAAUUGGUCUCUCAGUUUCAACCUUUGCCUUCCAUCACUUAAGUCUACUCAGCAGCCACAGUGGUCCUGGUAAGAUGGGAGUAAGAUCAUGAUCUUUCUCUACUCAGAACCCUCUCAUGGCUUCCCAUCUCACUUGGAGUAAAAGUAAAAUCAUUAAGGCUUGUAGGAUCUGGCUCCCUGGUACUGCUCUCUGACUUUAGUUUCUACUGUUAUUCACUCCUUUCUGUUGGCCCCUUCAGGCCCUUGCAGUUGCUGUUCCCUCUACCUAGAUCCCUCUUCCUUCAGAUGUCCACAUGACUUCCUCCCUCACCUCCUUCAGCUCUUUACUGUAUGUCAGCUGAGACCUUUGGCCCCCGCUAUGUAUACUCACAGCCUUCUCCAAACCGCCUCUUCCCUUUUUUUGCUUGAUUUUUCUCCUUAGCAUGUAUUACCUCUAAUUUACCUUAUUACCUUAUCCUCCCCCACUACAAUGUAAACUUCAUAGUUUUGGGGGGUUUGUUUGUUUUUUAAGACGGAGUCUCACUCUUACCCAGGCUGGAGUGCAGUGGUGUAAUCUCGGCUCACCGCAACCUCUGCCUCCCAGGUUCAAGUGACUGUUCUGCCUCGGCUGCCCAAGUAGCUGGGAUUACAGGCGUGCACCACCACGCCUGGCUAAUUUUUGUGUUUUUAGUAGAGACAGGGUUUCGCCAUGUUGACCAGGCUGGUAUCAAACUCUUGACCUCGAGAGAUCCACCUGCCUCAGCCUCCCAAAGUGCUGGGAUUAAAAGUGUGAGCCACAGCACUGGGCUGCUUCAUGUUUUGUUACUGCCAUAUCCUCAGCACCUAGAACCAUACCUGCCACAAAGUAGGCAUUUAAUAAAUAUUGGUUAAAUGAUUAAAUGAGCUGUUUAGAUAUAUUAAGAGAAAGCAUCUACCUACCUUUGACCUUUAGCUUGACUGAGGGUGGCAGUUCUAUUAAAAAAUAGGGCCGGGUGUGGUGGCUCACGCCUGUAAUCUCAACACUUUGGGAGGCCAAGGCAUGAGGAUCACCUGAAGCCAGGCGUUUGGGACAAGCCUGGGCAACAUAGUGAGACCCUGUCUCUACAAAAAAUUUAAAAAUUAUGGCUGGGUCUGGUGGCUCACACCUGUAAUCCUAGCACUUUGGGAGGCCGAGGCAGGCAGAUCGCUUGAGGUGAGGAGUUUGAGACCAGCCUGGCCAACAUGGUGAAACCCCCAGUCUCUACUAAAAAUCCAAAAAUUAGAGUAGGAGACCGUGUGGCCUUAAUGGAUAAGGUGUCUGACUUCAGAUCAGAAGAUUGAGGGUUUGAGUCCCUUUGUGGUCAUAACGUUUGGUCGGGUGCGGUGGCUCAUGCCUGUAAUCCCAGCACUUUAGGAGGCCGAGGCAGGCGGAUCACCUGAGGUCAGGAGUUUGAGACCAGCCUGGCCAACGUGAUGAAACCCCGUCUCUACUAAAAAUGCAAAAAUUAGCUGGGCAUGGUGGUGGAUGCCUGUAAUCCCAGCUACUCGGGAGGCUGAGGCAGGAGAAUCGCUUGAACCUGAGAGGCGGAGGUUGCAGUGAGUCGAGAUCGUGCCAUCGCACUCCAGCCUGGGCGACACAGCAAGACUCCCAUCUCAAACAAACAAACAAACAAAAAUUAGCCAGAUGUGGUGGCGCACACCUGUAAUCUCGGCUACACAGGAUGCUGAGACAGGAGAAUCGCUUGAACCUGGGAGGCAGAGGUUGCAGUGAGCCAAGAUCAAGUCACUGCACUCCAGCCUGGGUAGCAGAGUGAGGCUCUGUCUCAAAAAAAAAAAAAAAAAUUAGCCGAGCAUUGUGGUGCAUGCCUGUAGUCCUAGCUACUUGGGAGGCUAAGGCGGGAGGAUUGUUUGAGCCCGAGAGGCUGAGGUUAUAGUGAGCUAUGAUCACACUGCUGAACUCCAGCCUGGUUGAUAGAGCAAGACUCUGUCUCUAAUAAAAUAGUGAAACCUAGAGAAGAGUAAAUUUGUCUAGGAACAAAUUUGAACAUACCAUCUGGAAGGAAUUAAGGAGGAAGUGACAACUGAGGUGGGCCUUGAAGGUUGAGAUCAAAGGACAUUUCAGGCAGAGGUAAGAACAUUGCAGCUGGGCACAGUGGCUCACACCUGUAAUCCCAGCACUUUGGGAGGCCGAGGCGGGCAGAUCACGAGGUCAGGAGAUCAAGACCAUCCUGGCUAAGACGGUGAAACCCCGUCUCUACUAAAAAUUAAAAAAAAUAGCUGGGCGUACUGGCAGACGCCUGUAGUCCCAGCUACUUGGGAGGCUGAGGCAGAAUGGCAUGAACCUGGGAGGCAGAGCUUGCAGUGAGCCGAGAUCGCGCCACUGCACUCCAGCCUGGGAGACAGACUCUGUCUCAAAAAAAAAAAUUAGCUGGGCGUGGUGGCAUGUGCCUGUAGUCCCUCCUAAUAGGGAGGCUAAGGCAAGACAGGAGAAUCACUCAAACCCAGAAGGCGGAGGUUGCAGUGAGCCGAGAUCUCACCACUGCACUCUAGUCUGGGUGAGAAGAGCGCAACUCCGUUUCAAAAAAAAAAUAGGAUGUAACUGUAGAAAAUGGGAGAAGUUCAUUGGAGUGUAGUUCUGGAUAGUGGGGCAUGUAGGGGAUAAAACAGAUUGAGACCAGAUUAUGAAGGUCUGAAGGCCCAGUUAAGGAAUGUAUAAUUUAUCAGCCUUGGUGAAACAUCAGAGGAUUUCCACCAAAGUAUAGAAUGAUUAGAUUUGUGUAUCUGAAAGCUAACUUCAAUAUUUGCGUCUCUGCACCAAAAGCCGGAGGCCAACUUGAAGGCUGUUAGUGCAGGUGUGAGAUGAUGAGUGGUUAAGAUACUAGUAGUAUGGGGAUAUAGAGGGAAUGACAGGAGGAGACUCAGCUGUUAAGAGCAAAGUUUCUGGUGUGAAACUGCAAAUAGCAAUCACAGUUCUCCCGUUUAGUGGCUGUGUGUUAUUUAACCUCUACCUCAGGUUGCUUAUCUGUAAAAUGACUAUACUAAUACCUUACUUCACAGGGUUAUUGUGAGGAUUAAAUGAGAUAAUCCAUGUAAAAUGUUUAUCAUAGCAUGUGGCACCUAGUAAUGCUUGAUAAUGUAGUUAUCACAUUAUUACUAAUUGGCAGCAUUUGUUGAUCAAUAGAAAGUGGGGUGAGGGAGAAGGAGGGCUUUACCGUCAAAUUUCUAAGACUAACCAGCUGGCAAUUCCAUGAAUAAAUUAUAUGUUUUCUUCCUCUCUAGCCCAAUUGUGGUUCCAGGCCAGCACCUUCAGUAUCACCUGGAAACUUGUUAGAUAUGCAAAUUCUUGGCUUCCCACCUUAGACCUAAUGAAUAAGAAACUGUGGGGUGAGAUGCAGCACGUGGUGUUUUAACAAGCCCUCCAGGUGAUUCUGAUGUACUUCAAGUUUGAGAACCACUGCUUGGGACUCUACAACUGGGGUUGGUUGACUUUUUUUUUUAAACGGGGUCUGGCUGUGUUGCCCAGGCUGGAGUCCAGUAGCUGUUCACAGACAUUAUCAUACCUCGAACUCCCAGGCUCAAGUGAUACUCCUACCUCAGCCUCCUGAGUCACCGGUACUACAGGUAUGCACCACCAUGCCUGGCUAAUUUUUACAUGACAUGGGGCCUCACCAUGUUGCCCAGGCUGGUCUCAAACUCCUGGGCUCAAGUGACCCAUCCGCCUUGGCCUCUCAAAGUGCUGGGACUACAAGCAUGAGCCACUGUGCCUGGUCUCAACAUUUUUUUUUUCUGGAAACUUUACAGCUCUGAAAUCCAAAGUCUAGGAUUUCACUGCUCCAGACUAAGUAAACAUGCUUUUCCCCACCAAAGCCAAAGCUGGAAUUUUUGGAUUGGAGGUCUGAUCUUGAUCUCAAUACACAGGAUGACCUGGCUAAACCACCAGAAAACUGAAACCUGAGAAGAGAAGGUCUUCUAAGAAGGGAAAGGAAUUCUUGUUUCCAAACCAUUAAGUUUUAAGCUGUGGUGAUCCCUGAACUAAGAAAUGUAAAGAAGGGAGCUCUCAAAGGCCCAGAGGGGCAAAGUGGAGUUGCCAGCUGUGAGGGAGCCUAGGAAAACUGUGUUUAGGACCAUAAAUCAAGUCCUUAAGUCUUUUUUUUUUUUCUUUUUUUUGAGACGAAGCCUUGCUCUGUCACCCAGGUUGGACAGUGCAGUGGUGCAAUCUCGGCUCACUGCAACCUCCACCUCCUGGGUUCAAGCAAUUCUUUUCUGCCUCAGCCUCCCGAGUAGCUGGGAUUCCAGGCGCCUGCCACCAUGCCCGGCUAAUUUUUGUAUUUUUAGUAGAGACGGGGGUUUCACCAUGUUGGCCGGGCUGGUCUCGAACUCCUGACCUCAGGUGAUCCGCCCACCUCAGCCUCCCAAAAUGCUGGGAUUAUAGUCACCGUGUCCGGAUUGAGCCACAGUGUCGGGCCUCCCUAAGCAAUUCUGUCCCUAAUGAGAUAAUGACCAUUCUUUUUGCCUUCUGGCUAAGAGUAUGGAAAGAGUUAAAAGCCAAUACUUUCACCACCCCUCUAAGGCUUAUAGAAUGGCAGAAUUCCAUUUCUAUGACCUACAUUCUUUGAAGGGAAUGCCUAUGUCGUGGAAAGAGGAUGCAGCAAGACUUUUCACUUGACUGGGCUUGGUUUUCCCAGACCAAAAAAUAAAAUGGAAAUAAAUCAUCUUUAAGGUCCCUUGCAGCUUUAUGACUGUAUAAAGCUACGUUUUCCAGCUAACAGUGGGGCAGAAGUAGGUAGAAAAAAGAGGAGACUUGUUUUGGCCACUCCCCAGGGAAAGAGGAUUCAUCUGGGUGGUUUCCUGAAGCUCUCGGAAAGGUAAAUAGAGACUGGAGUUGUGUGACUGGUAUUACCCCAGUCCUGUGACACUGAAAGGACACCACAGUUGGAGAGGCCACCUUUGCCUUCUCCGGGAGGAUGGGGGAUGGGAAGCCAGCGUGGAGCCACAGAGGCUUCCAGCUCCGCAGCCUGGCCUGGCUCAGCUCUUUCUGGCAGAAACCAUGUCCUGCGUUCCAGGCUUCCGCGAGCAGGAUGCUAGUGUGCUGCUCUCCUGCUCCCCUCUGCGGGGGCCUCUCAGAGGGUAGGACACACCCUCCUUGCCUUUUUUUUUUCCCCCUAUUAAAAAUCACAACUCAAAUUUGGGUAUUUUUCUCCCUCUGCUAGCCCCGCCAAAACUUUCAGCGCGUUCCGCCCACUCCACGUGGACCUCCCUUCCCUGUCCCAGCAGCCCCUGCGAGAACCCUCACCCCAACAUGUGACCAAUUGUUAUGUUUCCUUCCUGGAGCUCGCUUUCAGCUGGCACCAGCUAACGACUGAACAAAAGUGCCCCCUUCAGGGUGAAUGUGGGGCAGCAGCUUGAGAGGAGGAAAGCUGAUGAGGG